CUGGGAAGUCAGAAGGCAGUUAAGACCUCCACAACCUACACAUUUGCAGACACUAGUUUAAGCUACUGACUCCUUUAGUCUUGAACUCUCCUAAAGGUGGGGGAUCUUAACUGCAUUUGCAAUUACCAGAAAAGGUAAAUAAAUGGUAAACCGCUGAAUCCACUGGCAAUCCAAAUUGCGAGAUUUAAAGCUGGGCUGGGAAUUUGAGAAAAAUAGAGUUGGUAAAUUAGCUACUUGGUACAACUUCUACAGAUGUUUUUUUGUGAGCUCUGAGUUUCUGGAAAAGCUAAAGUUCCCUGCAGUCUCCACCUACUUCCAAAGCAGUCACCAUGGCUCGCUGUCAGCCAAGUUUCCUGCCAACAGUCCCUGUGUGGGGGAAGGAAAGAAUCAAAGAAGGACAACUGGACAAAGUAAUCUACAGACAGCUUACAACAGUGCUGCACACGAUUAAUCUGACUUCACAGUGAGACGCUGAGAAAGGUGAAGUAAGUGGACUGAGAGCCACAGCUCCCAAGGGCAGUGCUUGGAUAGGAACUCAGAUCUUUACCUUCAAAGGUAAGCUACAAAUUCAAAAACUAAUAACCACAGACUAUUUUCAGUAGUAACUGAAACUAAUUCAGCAAAUACUAACUGAGUGUCUAUUGUGUAUUGACCACCUAACAAAUAGUGAAUUUUGGAAAUAUGUCAGACCUAGAUAAACUCUGAUAAUCUUGACAACUCUUCAGUCUCCAUUUACUUCAGAGGCAAUUAGAAAGAAAGAAACAGGCCUGCCUUCACUUCUCAACCAUCAGAGGCCUGUACAGACCCUUCCAGUUACUUUCCUUCCUUAUAUCAUCUGGGAAUGUAUUAAACCUGCAUUCUGGGCCUAUGGCUUUCAUACAUUCGGUCACAAAUAGAAAGCAAUGUUAAGUCCUGGGUUGCUACCUGUAAUGGCAGUCCUAUCCAGCCCCUCUCUGUCUGAUGCUAAGGCUCAAUGAAAUCAAGGCCAGACAGAAUUGAGGACCAGUCCAAAGUUAUUCUCUACUCCAUCAUUUAUUCUAAGCUGCCAGUGAUCUUUAUAAUUGGUAGCUAAUUUCUUAAUGGCAUAUCCAGUUUCUUGCUGAUAAACAAAACAGUGGCAAGGAAAACAGCAAAUAUGGACAGAUUUAGGAUUUU
rnacentral:lncRNA from 10 species